GACGAACGCUGGCGGCGUGCCUAAUGCAUGCAAGUAGAACGCUGAAGGAGGAGCUUGCUUCUCUGGAUGAGUUGCGAACGGGUGAGUAACGCGUAGGUAACCUGCCUGGUAGCGGGGGAUAACUAUUGGAAACGAUAGCUAAUACCGCAUAAGAGUAGAUGUCGCAUGACAUUUGCUUAAAAGGUGCAAUUGCAUCACUACCAGAUGGACCUGCGUUGUAUUAGCUAGUUGGUGAGGUAACGGCUCACCAGGGCAACGAUACAUAGCCGACCUGAGAGGGUGAUCGGCCACACUGGGACUGAGACACGGCCCAGACUCCUACGGGAGGCAGCAGUAGGGAAUCUUCGGCAAUGGACGGAAGUCUGACCGAGCAACGCCGCGUGAGUGAAGAAGGGUUUCGGAUCGUAAAGCUCUGUUGUAAGAGAAGAACGAGUGUGAGAGUGGAAAGUUCACACUGUGACGGUAGCUUACCAGAAAGGGACGGCUAACUACGUG
rnacentral:rRNA from 1 species